GGUGGAUACGCCGGUCAUCCCCGAUCUUCCGUCGGUCGAGGAGAUCGACUAGGAGGGAUGACCGCGCCCUCGUUGGCUUUUAUCUUUUUCGUUUUUCUUCUUAGAACAAUUGUAACUGGGGCUUCGGCCCGAUUUUGUAAGCUCCUUUUGACCUUGAAUGAAAUCGGUCUUAGGCUUAAACUUUUUCCCUCUGUCUGUUUUUCUUUCUUUCAUGAGUUGUAGAAUG
rnacentral:lncRNA from 1 species